CGGUGCAUCUCUAUGAGGAAAGUUUAGUGUCUCCAUGCAGACAGUGGAGACACUGAAUGUCAGUCACACUGUGCAGCACUGACCCAGGAUGCACCUCUAACAGCCAUCUGAGGAGUGGCCAGUGAAGUUAUCACUAGGCUGUAAUGUAAACACUGCAUUUUCUCUGGAAAGAAAGCGUUUACAGCAAAAAGCCUGAAGGGAAUGAUUCUACUCACCAGAACAAAUACAACAAGCACUAGUGUUUUGAGGGACUAGUGACCCUUUAAAUUUGAAAUUCACUUUGAAUUCUCACUUUAGAAUAUAACCCAGUUUGUGAGCCAGAUGGGAUCUUAAAACUAGCUAUUGGCUCUGGGAGAAAUAGCCCUUGUUUUCUCACCAUCAGCCCUGUGUAGGUGAUGCUAAUCAGGAGUGUUUUAUGACUGGAAGAAUACUACAAGUCUGUCCAGGGAAGUGUCUAUUAUUUACACAGGUCAGUCCUUCCACUAGAAGUUGAUCUGAAAUGUAUGCAGCAGGUGUGCACCGAAAUCAUGGCUUUCCUGCCUUGUGAUGUGUGCUUCAGAAGUGUCACUAGAGGUGGUGUGCUCCCAGACUGUGCAGAGGAUGGGUGACUUCUACUGUCAGAGCAUGACAAUCCAAGAGUUACGAAUGUUCCUUCAGAUAGGGCAUGAAAGUGCUUCCCUACAGUUUAUAGAAUUCAUAUGGUCCUACUCGGGGACGGACUGACAGCCUUCUGGGCCCCCGGGUAACAUUAUAUCCUGGGCCCUUUGAAGACCAAAUAUUAAUUAUUAAAAGGGACUUUAUAGUCACC